rnacentral:rRNA from 1 species
GAUUAACGCUAGCGGCAGGCCUAAUACAUGCAAGUCGAGGGGCAGCAGGGUGUAGCAAUACAUCGCUGGCGACCGGCGCACGGGUGCGUAACACGUAUGCAACCUACCUUUAACUGGGGAAUAGCCCUCCGAAAGGAGGAUUAACACCGCAUAACAUCACGAGACGGCAUCGCCUUGUGAUCAAACCUCCGGGGGUUAAAGAUGGGCAUGCGUCCGAUUAGCUAGUUGGCGGGGUAACGGCCCACCAAGGCGACGAUCGGUAGGGGGUCUGAGAGGAUGAUCCCCCACACUGGUACUGAGACACGGACCAGACUCCUACGGGAGGCAGCAGUAAGGAAUAUUGGGACAAUGGUCGCAAGACUGAUCCAGCCAUGCCGCGUGCAGGAUGAACGAUCUAUGAUCUGUAAACUGCUUUUGUUCGGGAAUAAACCCCUUCACGUGUGGAGGGCUGAAUGUACCGAAAGAAUAAGGGUCGGCUAACUUCGUGCCAGCAGCC